AUGGCGGUGCCUAUCCUGAAGACGGCGAUCGUGAAGAAGCGGGUGAAGCACUUCAAGAGGGCGCACAGCGACCGCUACAUCGGCCUCAAGCAAAGCUGGCGCAGGCCAAAGGGUAUCGACUCCCGCGUCAGGCGGAAGUUCAAGGGAUGCACCUUGAUGCCCAACAUUGGAUAUGGUUCUAACAAGAAGACGAGGCACUACCUGCCCAACAAGUUCAAGAAGUUUGUGGUUCACAACGUCUCUGAGCUGGAGCUGCUUAUGAUGCACAACAGGACGUACUGUGCUGAGAUCGCGCACAACGUGUCCACCCAGAAGCGCAAGGCGAUAGUGGAGCGUGCCGCCCAGCUCGACGUCGUGGUCACCAACAAGCUCGCCAGGCUCCGCAGCCAGGAGGAUGAGUGA
rnacentral:rRNA from 1 species